GAUGAACGCUGGCGGCGUGCCUAAUACAUGCAAGUCGAGCGAACGGACGAGAAGCUUGCUUCUCUGAUGUUAGCGGCGGACGGGUGAGUAACACGUGGAUAACCUACCUAUAAGACUGGGAUAACUUCGGGAAACCGGAGCUAAUACCGGAUAAUAUUUUGAACCGCAUGGUUCAAAAGUGAAAGACGGUCUUGCUGUCACUUAUAGAUGGAUCCGCGCUGCAUUAGCUAGUUGGUAAGGUAACGGCUUACCAAGGCAACGAUGCAUAGCCGACCUGAGAGGGUGAUCGGCCACACUGGAACUGAGACACGGUCCAGACUCCUACGGGAGGCAGCAGUAGGGAAUCUUCCGCAAUGGGCGAAAGCCUGACGGAGCAACGCCGCGUGAGUGAUGAAGGCCUUCGGAUCGUAAAACUCUGUUAUUAGGGAAGAACAGAUGUGUAAGUAACUGUGCACAUCUUGACGGUACCUAAUCAGAAAGCCACGGCUAACUACGUG
rnacentral:rRNA from 1 species